AUGGAGCCUGUGAUCCGUGGUCGUCCCACGUACCUGGAGGCUCACUACCCCCUUGUCCAGGAUCACAACGCGCUGGUCUGCCUCGUCAACAUUACUCCUGCCAUGCCUGUUUUCCUCCCUUGGCUCAAGCGCGUCUUCCACCAGCGUUUGGGCAUCGCGGCGGUGCGCUUCGCUGGCUCCUCUGUUGCCACUGCUUUUGUCGUGUUCCAGAGGGAGACCGAUCAGAUGCGCGCCCUCCGGGCCAGCCCCGUGGACGUGGGGCCUCACCGGGUUGACAUCCGGCCACACCAUGCGCGGAGCAACUCCUUCUCUUUCGCCUACCGCCACAUUGUUUGCCUCUCCCUGGAGAAAAUGCCGCUUGAGCUCUGGAGCCGGUGUGGCGUGGCAGCCAGCGUCUCAGGCUUCGCCGACCUGAUCAACGUCGAGCAUGCUUGCCUGCAUGGCCGGGACUUCGCCGGCAUCUUUGUCCUGGCCAAGGUGGAGGCGCUCCAGCACAUCCCCCACCACAUAUCAUUUCACAAGAUCAACGGCACCGGCCCGGCCUAUGCAGAUGUCUACAUCAAUGAGAUAUGGGAUGUGGCUCGGUCCCUGGGGAAUCCUGCCGCCCCCCCGCGGUCAGGCCACCAUCAAUUUGAUGGACGUGGUCACUCGCCGCCGCGGAGCCCUCCUGCAAGGGGCCGCACCAGCCGGACAUCGUCGCUAGGGCUGCCUACGGCCGCUGAACGCGCGCUCCGCGCCUACAAACGCCCCCACUUGGCCUCCUUCGACGACUUCAUGGCGAUGCUGAAGCUCUCUGCCAAGCCCAAGUUCAAGGUCCCGGUGGUCACGGGCAUGCUGGACGCGUCCGACUUUGACGCGGAUUCGGAGAAUGACGGCCACCUCAAGCGCCUGCUGGUCGCCGCGCCCGUGGCCCGGCCUCAUGCGGUCACGUACUUUGACCCAGACCACGCCAAGUUCUUCUUCAAGCUGGAGCUUAGCCUGGGAAGGGUCUUCCAUGGCGCCAUCUCGGUUGGCCCUUCCAGCAGGCUGGAUGACGGCUAUUUCCCCGUCUUCGACCUUUCCAUGGGCAAGCAAUCCCGACAAAGGUGCACCUCCCUUCUUUUCAAGUUCUGGCCAAAAAGUCUCUCGGAUGAUCCGUUUGCUCCUGAGACGAUGUGCAGCCGCACGUUGCCUUUACUCCCUUCUGUUGACUGCCGCUUUGCACCAAAAGCUAAUGUGCCACUGAGCCUCUUCAACUACAUGGGCCCAAGCCUGUCCCUUGCCACUGCCCCUGCUUCGGAUAGCUAUGCCGCCUCCACUGCUUUUCUCCAGCUUCAGUGCCAGAUUUGGCUUACCUCGCCGCCAACCUGCACUAUGCCGGCAACAGCGGGGCCAUCAUCCCAUGCUUCUCCUGCUUGUGAGGCCAAAACCGAUCUAUUGACUGGCACCCCGCUCGUUCAUGCUUCCUUCUACUCCCUGCCAGCGGCCAUAGCUCCUUACGCUUGUGGCUGUCUUGUUGCGCCCACCAGUUCCCAGUGCAAGGCGUCUCCGGUGCUCCUACCACUUUUCCCGACAUCGUCAGCAGCUGCAACAAUGGAUGUUGUGAACUCGGCGGCUAACCCGGUCAUCCUCGACUCAUCGGCGUCAGUGGACACGCCGGCUGAGAUGGUGGCUGGCGACCCCGCCGCCAGCAAGGACGAGGAGAUGCGUGUUGCUGUCGUGACCCAGUCAGAGUUGGCACUUAAGCAGGCGCCGCCCAGGCGCAGCGCGAGGCUGAUGAAUUUGCUGGAUGGGCCGCGGGUGAGAUGGGUGGAGCGAGCGGCCAAGCGCAAGGAGUCGCUGUCUGCAUCCACUGCUUCCGGCUCCUCGUCUGCGCACUCAUCCGGCCCGUCCUCCGCUCCUCGCAAGAGGGCCAAGAAGAUCAAGGACGUCUCCUCGCUGAUCGAGUUACCGCUCAAGCGCACGCCCAAGACCAUCUGGAGGAACAAGCUCAAGGCGCUAUCAUACUGUUGUGAUCUCAUUGCCUCUGAUAUUCUGCUCAAGCCAGAAGAUCGUUCUGCCGCCUCCACUUCCCACACAGCUUCGGUGCCUUAA
rnacentral:rRNA from 1 species